UGGUGGAGCGAUUUGUCUGGUUAAUUCCGAUAACGAACGAGACUUUGGCCUAUUAAAUAGUUCGCCGAUUCCGAUCUGUCGGCGUUAACUUCUUAGAGGGACAAGUGGCUUUUAGCCACGCGAGAUUGAGCAAUAACA
rnacentral:rRNA from 1 species